UGAAACUGCGAAUGGCUCAUUAAAUCAGUUAUAAUUUAUUUGAUAGUACCCCCUUUUACUACUUGGAUAACCGUGGUAAUUCUAGAGCUAAUACAUGCCUUGAAAAGUCCUGACCUUCAAUGGGAGGGAUGCAGUUAUUAGAUACAAAACCAACCCGGGCAACCGGUUCUUUGGUGAUUCAUAAUACUUUUGCGAAUCGCAUUUUGGCCCUUGUGCCGGCGAUGGGUCAUUCAAAUUUCUGCCCUAUCAACUUUUGACGGUAGGAUAGAGGCCUACCGUGGUGAUAACGGGUAACGGGGAAUUAGGGUUCGAUUCCGGAGAGGGAGCCUGAGAAACGGCUACCACAUCCAAGGAAGGCAGCAGGCGCGCAAAUUACCCAAUCCUGAUACAGGGAGGUAGUGACAAGAAAUAACG
rnacentral:rRNA from 1 species